GACGAGCGCUGGCGGCGUGCUUAACACAUGCAAGUCGAACGGAAAGGCCCUGCUUUUGUGGGGUGCUCGAGUGGCGAACGGGUGAGUAACACGUGAGUAACCUGCCCUUGACUUUGGGAUAACUUCAGGAAACUGGGGCUAAUACCGGAUAGGAGCUCCUGCUGCAUGGUGGGGGUUGGAAAGUUUCGGCGGUUGGGGAUGGACUCGCGGCUUAUCAGCUUGUUGGUGGGGUAGUGGCUUACCAAGGCUUUGACGGGUAGCCGGCCUGAGAGGGUGACCGGCCACAUUGGGACUGAGAUACGGCCCAGACUCCUACGGGAGGCAGCAGUGGGGAAUAUUGCACAAUGGGCGGAAGCCUGAUGCAGCAACGCCGCGUGCGGGAUGACGGCCUUCGGGUUGUAAACCGCUUCCGCCUGUGACGAAGCGUGAGUGACGGUAAUGGGUAAAGAAGCACCGGCUAACUACGUG
rnacentral:rRNA from 1 species